rnacentral:rRNA from 1 species
AAUCAACGCUGGCGGCGUGCCUAACACAUGCAAGUCGAACGCGAAAGUGGAGCAAUCCAUGAGUAGAGUGGCAAACGGGUGAGUAACACGUGGGUGACCUGCCUUAGAGUGGGGGAUAACGUCCCGAAAGGGACGCUAAUACCGCAUAACAUGCUGCCUUUUAAGAGGCGGACAUCAAAGCCGGGGACCGCAAGGCCUGGCGCUUAAAGAGGGGCCCGCGCCUGAUUAGCUAGUUGGUGGGGUAAUGGCUCACCAAGGCAACGAUCAGUAUCCGGCCUGAGAGGGCGGACGGACACACUGGGACUGAGACACGGCCCAGACUCCUACGGGAGGCAGCAGUGGGGAAUUGUUCGCAAUGGGCGCAAGCCUGACGACGCAACGCCGCGUGGAGGAUGAAGAUCUUCGGGUUGUAAACUCCUUUCGAUCGAGACGAAUGGCCCUUGGGCUAACAUCCCGAGGGAGUGACGGUACCGAGAGAAGAAGCCCCGGCUAACUCCGUGCCAGCAGCCG